rnacentral:rRNA from 1 species
CCUACGGGUGGCAGCAGUGGGGAAUAUUGGGCAAUGGGCGCAAGCCUGACCCAGCAACGCCGCGUGAAGGAAGAAGGCUUUCGGGUUGGAAACUUCUUUUCACAGGGACGAAGCAAGUGACGGUAGCUGAGGAAUAAGCCACGGCUAACUACGUGCCAGCAGCCGCGGUAAUACGUAUGUGGCAGGCGUUAUCCGGGUUUACUGGGUGUAAAGGGCGUGUAGGCGGGUUGAAAAGUCAGAUGUGAAAUCCUGCGGCUUAACCGCAGAAGUGCAUUUGAAACUUGUGAUCUUGAGUACUGGAGCGGCCGCCGGAAUUCCUCGUGUAGCUGUGACAUGCGUAGAUAUUAGGAGGAACACCAGUGGCGAAGGCGGUCUGCUGGACCGCAACUGACGGUGAGGCUCGAAAGCGUGGGUAGCAAACAGGAUUAGAUACCCUUGUAGUC